rnacentral:rRNA from 1 species
GAUGAACGCUAGCUACAGGCUUAACACAUGCAAGUCGCGGGGCAGCAUGGGGGUUGCUUGCAACCCCUGAUGGCGACCGGCGCACGGGUGAGUAACGCGUAUCCAACCUGCCCUUCACCACGGGAUAACCCGGCGAAAGUCGGACUAAUACCGUAUGUUGUCCAUUGACGGCAUCCGAUUUGGACGAAAGGCGUGGCGGUGCAAGGAUGGGGAUGCGUCCUAUUAGCUUGACGGCGGGGUAACGGCCCACCGGGGCUACGGUCGGUAGGGGUUCUGAGAGGAAGGUCCCCCACACUGGAACUGAGACACGGGCCAGACUCCUACGGGAGGCAGCAGUGAGGAAUAUUGGUCAGUGGGCGUAAGCCUGAACCAGCCAAGUAGCGUGCAGGAGGACGGCCCUAUGGGUUGUAAACUGCUUUUAUGCGGGGAUAAAGUGGCCCACGUGUGGGCUUUUGCAGGUACCGCAUGAAUAAGGACCGGCUAAUUCCGUG